UCCCAGGUAGCUCAGUGGUAAAGAAUCUGCCUGCUAAGCAGGACACUUGGGUUCAAUUCCUGCAUCGGGAA
rnacentral:tRNA from 1 species